rnacentral:sRNA from 1 species
UUGCUUGAAGCCCUCCUUUUAACCCACCAAAUAGGUACAGCACAGGCACCAGCACUGCAAGCUUCAUCACAUUGCCCUGCCAGUGUGCUCCAGUCCUAACAUUGAGCCCUCUGCCACAGAAGGAAAGCUGGCUGAGUGUGCAUGUCCGGGCAGAUUUUGGCUUCC